rnacentral:rRNA from 1 species
AUGUAUCUUGCUUCAGCUUUUAUUUUUGAACUGGGACAAAAUGUUCUAAGAGAACUUCCACAUUCACUCAUGGCAAUGUAUGAUAAUAAAGUAUGUUGUAUCAUUGGUGUCAGACAUCUGGACGAGAAGAAAAAGAAGUGCAAGGCUGGUAAGGUCGAGACUCAUCUUGAAUUCCCUGGAUUUGAAAAGGUUAAAUUUGGUGAAGUUGUCGAAGCUCCACCAAAGUUAUCAUUCCCAAAGGUGCCUUCUCUACUCAAAACCUUUUAUGUUAUUAGAUUUGGUUGGAUUCAUAUGAAGGGUUGA